rnacentral:rRNA from 1 species
AGAGUUUGAUCAUGGCUCAGGAUAAACGCUAGCGGGAGGCCUAACACAUGCAAGUCGAGCGGUAUAUUUUAGCUUGCUAAAAUAGAGAGCGGCGCACGGGUGAGUAACGCGUAUGCAACCUACCCCAGACAGGGGGAUAGCCCGGAGAAAUUCGGAUUAAUACCCCAUAAGAUCAUAAGUUCACAUGGACAAUUGAUAAAAGCUUCGGUGGUUUGGGCUGGGCAUGCGUGACAUUAGCUAGUUGGUAAGGUAACGGCUUACCAAGGCUACGAUGUCUAGGGGUUCUGAGAGGAAGAUCCCCCACACUGGUACUGAGACACGGACCAGACUCCUACGGGAGGCAGCAGUGAGGAAUAUUGGUCAAUGGGCGGAAGCCUGAACCAGCCAUCCCGCGUGAAGGAAGACUGCCCUAUGGGUUGUAAACUUCUUUUUUGCUUCAGGAAUAGUUGCUACGAGUAGCGAUAUGACGGUAGAGCAAGAAUAAGCAUCGGCUAACUCCGUGCCAGCAGCCGCGGUAAUACGGAGGAUGCGAGCGUUAUCCGGAUUUAUUGGGUUUAAAGGGUACGUAGGUGGCCAGUUAAGUCCGUGGUGAAAACCUGCCGCUCAACGGUAGGCGUGCCAAGGAAACUGACAGGCUUGAGUACAGAUGAGGUAAGCGGAAUGUGUAGUAGCGGUGAAAUGCAUAGAUAUUACACAGAACUCCGAUAGCGAAGGCAGCUUACUAAACUGCCACUGACACUGAAGUACGAAAGCGUGGGGAGCGAACAGGAUUAGAUACCCUAGUAGUCC